CCGCCGCUGUGACGCAGUGACGCACGCACGUGCUUCCCACGCCGUUGCCUGGGAGAAGGGGGCGGGGCCGGGCCGGGGAGUGUGCCUGCAGCCAUGUUGUUCGUACCUGCCCAGCUGGUAGAGCGGGGUGGGGGGUCUCGAGGUAGCCGCCCCCUCGGCGCGCGACGCUGCCCCCACUCCAGGGAAGGAUGCGGCCUCCGCUCCGGCGAGUCAGCCUUGGGGGUGCAGCGGUGCCCCGCUCGCCCCCGGAGACCGGGAGCCUGCGUCAGCUGCCGAGCUGCGGCCCCGCGCCUCGGGCACGGCGGACAUCGCUCGCGCCAUCCGGGCGGCGCUCAGCAUCUGUGGGCUGCAAGUGCCUCGUGCCCCGGCUCUGCCAGUCUGGCAAGUGGCGCUGGGGCAAAAGGGGAGCCUAGGAAAGCUGAAUCCUACACUGGUGCAGGAGAGUCCACUAAGUGACUCAGAAGUGAUCAGGAAGGUGCUAUUUGCAUUUCCAAAGCUAUCACUAUCUGCUGCAGAAUUUACGCACCAGCUUCUCAAAAACAAAAGACGGAUCUGAAAGUACAGUCAAGAUGCCCAGUUCUCCACUGUCUUGAACUUAGGUGUUUGUUCUCAUUUGUUAAGACUUAGUGUAAAAUUAUAGCAAUUCAGGAAUGCAUUACUCCUCUUUUAUACCCACUUUACACUGGUAUAAAUAGCUAAAUGGAGAUCAGACCUACUAAUACAACAUUCACUUUAAAAUGGUAUAUAUUUUAUGUAUACAAUAAUCUUUUAGAACUCCUUCUAUUUUGAAUCAGGUCCUUCACUGGAGAUUUGUAAUAGAUUUACAGAGUUCUUUAAUAACAAUAAAUAGUGUUUUUCACUCUUAAAAUUUUCUUUUCAUUAUAUAUUUGGUCCUCUGAAUGUUCCUUGUUUCUCCAUAAAGGAUAUUAAAGCAUGAAAAUAUUUGUAUUACCUUCAGAAGUCUUGUUUUCCUCAACUUCUGCUUUAUCGGUUGUCUUGAAUUCAUCAAAAGGUAGACAAGUCCAAAUAUCAACCUAUUCCUUUUUUAUCUGGUGUCUUAAUAUUCUUCAUUAAGAAAAGAUUUCAAGGAGCAUAUGCAGGUGCUUGACAUUUCUAUCAUCUUAAUAUGACUGUUGGCAGUUUUAACCUAAUCAAAUAUUCAAAGCCCUUUCUAAAUUCUACCUUUGUGUUUUCUUCAUCAGAUUCUGCUGAGUUACUUGUUAUUCUCCCAGUCAAUUUUGCCUGUGCAAUUAUUUCCUUUAUUAGGAAACCAGUAAAGGGCAGCUUAUACAAUUCUCAUAUUGUAGCUUUCUUGCUAUUAUGAUACCAAAGCAGCAUGGUGAGAUAUACUAUUAUUGACAAAUCAUGAAAGGAAAUACUGUAUCUACUCAAAUCCACGGCAAGAGUCUUUUUCCCCAUUCAACAUCCAAGGAAGGGUCUUGGAUUUGAGUUUGAGAGGGCAGGGGGAUAGGCAGUAGAUGGAGCUCCAGCUCUGGCCCUAGCCCCAACCCCAACCCAGUCUUGGGAGUUUGAGCUGCAGCUUCCUACCCUUUCCUAACCCUACCCUUUCCCCCUGCCAGCCCUUCUCCAUGCUGCCUCCCCCACCACCACCACACUCCUGCUAUUGCUGCUUACUGAAUCAUGGCUCUGGGUCUGGGUCCUGCUCCACUCUGACCCAGGGCACUAAGCACAUGUUGGCUCCAUCCACUACCUGGCAAGGAAAGCAGUGGCAAUACCUCUGGGCCCCAGUUCUGGCUCUGAACUCAGGGCUAGUGCUGGAGCUGCCACCUCUACAGCCAAUGCUGCCAGGCCAAGCGGGGGCUAGAGCCAGCAUGUGCUCUGUGCCUCACUGGAGCCAGGUCCCAGGACAGUG